rnacentral:rRNA from 1 species
CGUUCUUAGAAUUAUUUAUUUAUUGAGAAUCUGACCUGCCCGGUGGGUGUGUCUUAACGGUGGCCUUAACGUGAGGGUCUUAAGGUAGCAUAUAAGAUGUCAAUUAAUUGUUGAGUGGUAUGAAUGGAUAAAACGAGAUAAAAGCUGUCUUUAGGUAGAUUGUGUGAAUUUAAUUUAAAGGUGAAAAAGCCUUUAUUAUUUUAAUAGACGAUAAGACCCCGUGAAACUUAAAAGUGUUUCUUAUUUCUCAACUUUUAAGGUUAUUAAAUUGUUGGAAAUAUAGUUUAUCUUUUAGCCUGGGGAGGGUCAGGGGUGUGAACCCCCUGAUAGUGUUUACGAUCGGCUAAUGUUGAACCAAUAAUUUUUUGGUAGAUGGAAUAAGUUACUCCGGGGAUAACAGCGUAAUCUUUUCAGAGAGUUCCUAUUGAUGGAAGGGUUUGCGACCUCGAUGUUGAAUGUAGCUAUCCUAAGGCUUGUAGAAGGUCUUAAGGGUUAGACUGUUCGUCUAUUAAAAGCUAACC